UACGGGGGGAGCAAGCGUUGUUCGGAUUUACUGGGCGUAAAGGGCGCGUAGGCGGCGUGACAAGUCACUUGUGAAAUCUCCGGGCUUAACUCGGAACGGUCAAGUGAUACUGUCGUGCUAGAGUACAGAAGGGGCAACUGGAAUUCCCGGUGUAGCGGUGAAAUGCGUAGAUAUCGAGAGGAACACCUGCGGCGAAGGCGGGUUGCUGGGCUGAUACUGACGCUGAGGCGCGAAAGCUAGGGGAGCGAACGGG
rnacentral:rRNA from 1 species